AUAAAUCCAAAAAGUUGUUUAACAUAAUCUACCGGAGUAUAUCUGGAUAGUGUGAUUCUGAUGUAGAUCCGAUCCUCUGAAUAUAUAAAUACGUCAAUCUACAAGAAACAAUAAACACAUACAAGUAAGCUUAUAGAAAAGCUUAGUAAGUUCAUAGGCAUAAAACAUAAAUCUUACCAAACAUUUGUACACUUAUACAAUAUACACCAUUACUAAGUUUACCUGUCAACCACAAUCUUUGGUGAGUUCCUUGGUAUAAACUCACUACUACUUAUUCUUUUACCAUAAUUCCUUUGGACCCAUUUGUCACUUACCAUCCUUGAUCAAAAUUAAGGAACGGUUACGGAAAAUUGAGUACUUCACUUUCACUUUGCCAUAGUAUAACUAUGGUCUUACGUAUGAUCACUUAUCAUUUGUCCCUAAUCAGAUAAGUGUAGCUAAGCUACCACUUAUCACUUUGUCACCUGAUCAGAUAAGUAUAGCACUUAUCACUUUUUCACUUGAUCAGAUAAGUAUAACACUUAUCACUUUUUCACUUGAUCAGAUAAGUGUAGCUAAAGCUACCACUUAUCACUUUGUCACUUGAUCAGAUAAGUAUAGCACUUAUCACUUUUUCACUUGAUCAGGUAAGUGUAGCUAAAGCUACCACUUAUCACUUUGUCACUUGAUCAGAUAAGUGUAGCACUUAUCACUUUUUCACUUGAUCACAUAAGUGUAGCUAAAGCUACCACUUAUCACUUUGUCUCUUGAUCAGAAGUACUCAAAUCCGGCGUCCCGCUUAAUUUGAUUAUUUAUUCGGUUUUCGCAUUCUUAUUUUAUUCCCAUUUCAACAAUAAAUUUAUUUCAUCAUACAUUAUAUAAUUCAUGAAAUUAACAUUUAAUCAUUAAAAUUCAGCCAUAUGAACUUACCUGGGUCGAUUUGCAGAAUUUGUAAAAGUUCAGGGACUAAUCAACUACUUUUUCUUUUCCUCGGCUUGCUUCGGGAUCUCGAUCUAAAAUACAAAUUUAUUCAUUCAUCAGCAUAUAAUUUAAUUCUAAUUCAUUUCACAAUUUAUGCCCUUAAAUUUUCGAAAUUACACUUUUACCUCAAACUUUACAAUUUUUACAAUUUGGUCCCUACUCAAUUAACCCCUCAAUUGAUCUAAUUAUUCUCAAUUAACACAUUUUCCAACUAUUUUAGACUACUACAUAGCCUUUCAUAUUCAAAACCGCAACAUCAAACCUUAAUUCCCAACUUUUCCACAAUUAGGUCCCUAAAAUCAAUUUCUAUCAAAAUUACUUAAUAAAAUCAUCAUAUAACAAAAUUAAAGCUUUAAUUCCAUGUUUAUUCAUCAUAUAAUUCCAGCAUGUAUUCAUAUAAACUUUCAAAAUCAGCCAUGAAAUAAAAAACUAAUGAAAUAAUUAGUUGGACCUAAUUGUAAAAGUAUCAAAAUCACAAAAAAUACAAGAAUUAAUCAAGAAUUAAACUUACAUGAUUCAAAUAUAUGAAAAACCAGCUUGUUUCAG
rnacentral:lncRNA from 1 species